rnacentral:rRNA from 1 species
CCUCGGGGUGCAGCAGUGAGGAAUAUUGCACAAUGGGGGGAACCCUGAUGCAGCAACGCCGCGUGGAGGAUGACGCAUUUCGGUGUGUAAACUCCUUUUAUAUGUCAAGAAAAUGACGGUAGCAUAUGAAUAAGCACCGGCUAACUCCGUGCCAGCAGCCGCAGUAAUACGGAGGGUGCAAGCGUUACGCGGAAUCACUGGGCGUAAAGGACGCGUAGGCGGGUUGGAAAGUCAGGUGUGAAAUCCUACAGCUUAACUGUAGAACUGCACUUGAAACUUCUAAUCUAGAGUAUGGGAGGGGGAGAUGGAAUUAGUGGUGUAGGGGUAAAAUCCGUAGAUAUCACUAGGAAUACCUAAAGCGAAGGCGAUCUCCUGGAACAUUACUGACGCUAAGGCGUGAAAGCGUGGGGAGCAAACAGGAUUAGAUACCCCCGUAGUC